CCACCACCACCACCACCACCACCAUCAACAGCAACAACGGAAACAACAUGAGCGCGAUAAGGAUUCUCUUCUCCUCACAGUCUUCAGCGCGACCUUGGCUACCACCAACGAGUGGGUUCUUUUACCCACUCGGCCAUGCCGCUGGUCUUUCGACACAUUGUUCUAAGAAGAAGGAAAAAUUCUCGCUUUUUCUUGGCGGAUGAUUUUGAAUUCCAUCUUUCGGGUCCCCACAUCAGCUGUGGGAACCCAGCAAACAGCAGCAACGUUUAAAGUGCCUUCGAGGACCAGAUUGUACGUAACGCCCUGUUCAAGCGACAUAUUUAUGCGCCUCUGGAUGUUUGGACGCACUACGCUUCAGUGCCCGUCAGCUGGUGGAAGCACUGAGGCCGGAGCCCAUCACCUUA